rnacentral:rRNA from 1 species
CCUACGGGAGGCAGCAGUGGGGAAUAUUGCACAAUGGGCGCAAGCCUGAUGCAGCCAUGCCGCGUGUAUGAAGAAGGCCUUCGGGUUGUAAAGUACUUUCAGCGGGGAGGAAGGGAGUAAAGUUAAUACCUUUGCUCAUUGACGUUACCCGCAGAAGAAGCACCGGCUAACUCCGUGCCAGCAGCCGCGGUAAUACGGAGGGUGCAAGCGUUAAUCGGAAUUACUGGGCGUAAAGCGCACGCAGGCGGUUUGUUAAGUCAGAUGUGAAAUCCCCGGGCUCAACCUGGGAACUGCAUCUGAUACUGGCAAGCUUGAGUCUCGUAGAGGGGGGUAGAAUUCCAGGUGUAGCGGUGAAAUGCGUAGAGAUCUGGAGGAAUACCGGUGGCGAAGGCGGCCCCCUGGACGAAGCUGACGC